CUUCUGAGUUAAUUUGUCAUCAUCCCUGUGACAGGAAGAGCCUUGGUUGUGUCAGCAACACAGUAUGGGAGUACAGAUGCUGGCGACCCACCCCUACGGAUGGUCACUCACCCCACACCACCAGGGAGUUUUCUAGAUGUGCACGGUGUUUGACGCAUGACCAGAGUGGCGGUUUUGCUAAGCUAAUAACAGGCAGAUGACGGAAUAAUGCACAGGGGAUGGUGACUGAUCAUAUGUGGUUCUCAACCGGCAGCAGUGACCCUUCAUGAUUGCUGGACAGCUGAUUGCCACAGCUGUGGAAGAGCACCACAGACAAGAUGCUGCAGUAUGCCUAGAUGUGAGGCUGUUGAUGUUCAUGCGCAUUUUCUCCAGCCCGGACUUGACCUUCUUAGACACCCUGAUCCAGUGGUGGCUCAUCUAACCGUGACUGACGUCUCGUUUCCAGCUCCAACUCUUCCUUGGGCGUCAAGGCACUAUUCCCAACAGUCUGCUGGGGGGUCGUCCCUAACCAGACCACAAGCAGCCUUGCUUGCUUCAAUGCCUGUAUCUUAAUACCUUGGAUGACUUACGUCCUACUUCCCACGGCUAGACUGUGCUUUUGCUAGGUACCUGCCUAGAAGCCACCGGAUGAGCCAUAGCUCACCACUGUACCUUGGAUCUCCAGCAUCCUGCAUAAUGGAACCAACUUGGUGUUUUAAAAGAAAAGAGCUGCUGACGACAUCUUCGUCUGAACUUUAGCAGGCACCGUAUACAUUUGGAGACUUCAAAGGUUCAAAUCCUAGCCCUAUAUGUCCCCAAGUCUUUGAUCCUUGACCUUGUGGAACUGUAAUUUUCCCUCUCCUGUAAAAGUGAAACACAAGUGUGCCUUCCUCACGAGCUGCACUGAGGAAGUGAGACGGUGUGUAUAUAUGCCAGAUUGCAUCUUCCCAAAGGUGCCUGAAUCAAUAUUUAUCCCCCUUCCCACAUGCUCUUGUUAUAGUGUGACUCAUACUUCUCCCACGUAUCCCUUGAGUCUUGAGGGCUUGAGACUGCUCUAUCAAUAGAACAUGCUGGGAGCAAUGCUUUGUGGUUUUAAAGGUGAAGUUAUUCAAAGGAGAUGCCAUCUACCUGGCUCUACUUGAUAGAUACCUGCCCUUAGAAUCCAGCCACCAUGUCGUGAGGAAGCUCAACUGGGUGUGCACUGGAACACCUUGCUGGAGGAGAACCGAGGCUCUCAGGUGCUUACCACCACUGCCGGAUUCCUGGAUGGAACCUGUGACUUCACCUGCAGCCUUUGUGUCUACCACAGAGAUCUAAGUUGCCACCAGGCAGGAACGGCUGCACCUUGUCCCCAUUGUGCUCUGUCCAGACUCCAGACUCACUGACCGCAUGAGCAUUAAAAUAUUGCUCUGCACUGUGGUGUCUUGGGGUCAUUUGUUAUGCCGCCAUGGAUAUGGGAAGAGUGUAUAAAACUGCCAAAUAAGUAUAUCUAACAUUUUCACAUUAAAACUUUGGAAUCCUGUAUAUUUUUCAUGAUUUAGUAUAAACAUUACCUCCUCAACAAAGAUUAUCCCAAACCAGCCAAAUAGAAUGAUAACCAAGCAUUUACCCUACGCUGGGUUUCUUUCCGGACAGACUGUGCAUGCAUUAUCUCAUUUG